rnacentral:misc_RNA from 1 species
AAGGAGUCUAACAUGUAUGCGAGUAGGCGGGUGUAAAACCUUGCUGCGUAAUGAAAGUAAAGGAUGGGAUCCGCCAGGUGCACCAUCGUCCGCUCAUCUUCCUCUGGUGAAAGAUUUGAGUUAGAGCAUAAAUGUUAGGACCCGAAAGAUGGUGAACUAUGCCUGAGUAGGGCGAAGCCAGGGGAAACUCUGGUGGAGGCUCGAAGCGAUUCUGACGUGCAAAUUGAUCGUCAAAUUUGGGUAUAGGGGCGAAAGACUAAUCGAACCAUCUAGUAGCUGGUUCCCUC